rnacentral:rRNA from 1 species
GCUGGCGGCGUGCCUAACACAUGCAAGUCGAACGAAGCUCGAUCUUCUGAGAUUUCGGUCAAAGAGGAAAGAUGACUUAGUGGCGGACGGGUGAGUAAUGCGUGAGCAACCUGCCUCGGAGAGGGGGACAACAGUUGGAAACGACUGCUAAUACCGCAUGAUGUACAGAGAGGGCAUCCUUUUUGUACCAAAGAUUUAUCGCUCUGAGAUGGGCUCGCGUCUGAUUAGUUAGUUGGUGGGGUAACGGCUCACCAAGACUGCGAUCAGUAGCCGGACUGAGAGGUUGAACGGCCACAUUGGGACUGAGAUACGGCCCAGACUCCUACGGGAGGCAGCAGUGGGGAAUAUUGGGCAAUGGGCGCAAGCCUGACCCAGCAACGCCGCGUGAAGGAAGAAGGCUUUCGGGUUGUAAACUUCUUUUAUGAGGGACGAAGGACGUGACGGUACCUCAUGAAUAAGCCACGGCUAACUACGUGCCAGCAGCCGCGGUAAUACGUAGGUGGCGAGCGUUAUCCGGAUUUACUGGGUGUAAAGGGCGCGUAGGCGGCGAAGCAAGUCAGAUGUGAAAUCCAUGGGCUCAACCCAUGAACUGCAUUUGAAACUGUUUCUCUUGA